GAUAACCAUUGGAAACGAUGGCUAAUACCGCAUAAUAGCUUCGGCUCAAAGAGGGGGACCUUCGGGCCUCUCGCGUCAGGAUAUGCCCAGGUGGGAUUAGCUAGUUGGUGAGGUAAGGGCUCACCAAGGCGACGAUCCCUAGCUGGUCUGAGAGGAUGAUCAGCCACACUGGAACUGAGACACGGUCCAGACUCCUACGGGAGGCAGCAGUGGGGAAUAUUGCACAAUGGGCGCAAGCCUGAUGCAGCCAUGCCGCGUGUAUGAAGAAGGCCUUCGGGUUGUAAAGUACUUUCAGCAGUGAGGAAGGUGGUGCAUUUAAUACGUGCAUCAUUUGACGUUAGCUGCAGAAGAAGCACCGGCUAACUCCGUGCCAGCAGCCGCGGUAAUACGGAGGGUGCGAGCGUUAAUCGGAAUUACUGGGCGUAAAGCGCAUGCAGGUGGUGUGUUAAGUCAGAUGUGAAAGCCCGGGGCUCAACCUCGGAAUUGCAUUUGAAACUGACAGACUAGAGUACUGUAGAGGGGGGUAGAAUUUCAGGUGUAGCGGUGAAAUGCGUAGAGAUCUGAAGGAAUACCGGUGGCGAAGGCGGCCCCCUGGACAGAUACUG
rnacentral:rRNA from 1 species